rnacentral:lncRNA from 1 species
CAAGAGGCUCAACAACACCCAUGAGUAAGUGACAGUUCAGUGAACUCUGAUCCCAAUGUUUGAUGGGUUGAGAGAACUAGACUCCUAUAGCCUUUACCUAUACAAGUAUCAGUUGAGUUUGUUGCCUGAAUGAGCUUGCAAUAUGAGGCCCUAAGAGAAUAUAAUACCAUUCUUGUCUACUUACAGGGACACAAAACACUGGUGACCAGAUCCUCAUCUGGGAUAAAUCAGUAUAGCGCUGCUGACUUCAAAGGAGCUUCCAGAGCAGGUGUGGCAUUCUGCAAAAAAGACGAUCAAGUGAAAGCAUGAAGGGGAAUCUUGUCCCCUUCUCCGAGUGUGUCUGGGAUAUCAAAAAAGCAGCAGAACUGGUUAAGGUUCGGCUGCACAGGAGAAUACAAUAUGGGGAACCCAAAGAGGGGGUCUGCAGACCCUGCAUGCCAGCCAGAUAUACUUGUUAAGGGGCUCCUUCCAUGCUGUCAUCUGCCAGAACAGGAUGUGGAUACCUCAGAUAAAUGCAUCCCUUCAAACACUAUCUCUCAUCAGCCCUCCACUUGAUUGAUGAGUAAAAACUGGCCCUCAAUCUCAUUUAAACAAACAGUAAGGGCACGUGAGACAUACUAUUCGUAACAGUAAUAGAUAACACUUCAAUGGUGCUUUUCGGUCAUUAGACUCAAAGCACACAAUGAUCAGGUACCAUUAAACAUCUUUAUCUCCAUUCUACAGGUGGGGAAACGGGGGCAGAGUGAUUUGUAGUGUUUUGGCCAAGAUCACACAGCAAGUCAGUGGUGACAGAGCCAGAACUGGAACCCAGUUCUCCUACCUCCCGCACUUGUGUCCUAUUUACCGGAGCACACUCGCAAUGCAGAUGAAUACACCUAUAGUUUAGGCUUGUGUGUGCCCAUGAGCAGACCUGUAAUGCAGAUGCAUUGGAGGACAACAGCUUUUGCUAUAUGCUACAGAGGGCUUUGCAAAAUUAAGGUCAUAAUGGAAGGCACGAUCCUUGGCUUUAUAGUGUAGUAAUUAUGAUUGCCAGUAGUUAUGAUAAUUAGUUUUCUUUUUUUAAACAGGAACAAUAAUUUUUUUCAGAUAGACAUACAGUACUGUCCAUAGUACAUUUUAGGCCAAGUAUUUUAUGUAAAUAAAAUAAAAAGUAACACAAUUCA